rnacentral:rRNA from 1 species
AUUGAACGCUGGCGGCAUGCCUUACACAUGCAAGUCGAACGGCAGCACGGGAGCAAUCCUGGUGGCGAGUGGCGAACGGGUGAGUAAAGUAUCGGAACGUGCCCAGUCGUGGGGGAUAACGUAGCGAAAGUUACGCUAAUACCGCAUACGAUCUAUGGAGGAAAGCGGGGGAUCGCAAGACCUCGCGCGAUUGGAGCGGCCGAUAUCAGAUGAGGUAGUUGGUGGGGUAAAGGCUCACCAAGCCGACGAUCUGUAGCUGGUCUGAGAGGACGACCAGCCACACUGGGACUGAGACACGGCCCAGACUCCUACGGGAGGCAGCAGUGGGGAAUUUUGGACAAUGGGCGAAAGCCUGAUCCAGCCAUGCCGCGUGCAGGAUGAAGGCCUUCGGGUUGUAAACUGCUUUUGUACGGAACGAAAAGGUUUGGCCUAAUAAGCUGAGCUCAUGACGGUACCGUAAGAAUAAGCACCGGCUAACUACGUGCCAGCAGCCGCAGUAA